UGCAGUCGAGCGGUAGCACAAGAGAGCUUGCUCUCUGGGUGACGAGCGGCGGACGGGUGAGUAAUGUCUGGGAAACUGCCUGAUGGAGGGGGAUAACUACUGGAAACGGUAGCUAAUACCGCAUAACGUCUUCGGACCAAAGUGGGGGACCUUCGGGCCUCACGCCAUCAGAUGUGCCCAGAUGGGAUUAGCUAGUAGGUGGGGUAAUGGCUCACCUAGGCGACGAUCCCUAGCUGGUCUGAGAGGAUGACCAGCCACACUGGAACUGAGACACGGUCCAGACUCCUACGGGAGGCAGCAGUGGGGAAUAUUGCACAAUGGGCGCAAGCCUGAUGCAGCCAUGCCGCGUGUGUGAAGAAGGCCUUCGGGUUGUAAAGCACUUUCAGCGAGGAGGAAGGGUGGUGUGUUAAUAGCACAUCACAUUGACGUUACUCGCAGAAGAAGCACCGGCUAACUCCGUGCCAGCAGCCGCGGUAAUACGGAGGGUGCAAGCGUUAAUCGGAAUUACUGGGCGUAAAGCGCACGCAGGCGGUUUGUUAAGUCAGAUGUGAAAUCCCCGCGCUUAACGUGGGAACUGCAUUUGAAACUGGCAAGCUAGAGUCUUGUAGAGGG
rnacentral:rRNA from 1 species